rnacentral:lncRNA from 1 species
UCUCAAAAGGAUUCGAAUUUAGGGGCGAAAUAAUUUCAGAUUUGGGGAGAAAAUCAUAGAAGAAUGUUUUGCCAUGAAUCCUACGGAUAUCCUAUGGCCCCUUGUUGUCUUCAAGCUCCUACACCACAAAACAAAUAUCAGUGCCCUGUUAUACUAAUGCAGACCAUAAAUCAAGGGAGAUAUCAUAAUCUGUGCUAUACUAAUCCUAAUCCUCCUCUGCGAGAAGCCAGCAGCUUCCUCUGCCUGUUGAGCGCCACACACAGGAACACGGACGCUGGCCGGCGCACAUCACACACCCACAGCAGACCGGCGCGAGCACAACACGAAUGUUGCGUUCUAUAAAACCAGUGCAACUGCACAGGCUAGCUUUUAAACCAAUACAUCAACUAAACCUUUUGGAAAAAAGAAUUGCGUGUGAAAACUUGCACUAAUGAUGAAUAUAGAGGCUUGGUGAUAAGCUCUUGAAAGUUUAAUUAUUCCAAACUACAGUUUGUUUUGUGUCUUGUGCAUCAGAAAAUGCUUAUAUUUCACUGUACGACAGAUGCAACACCAAAAUGUAAAAAUUGCUUAGGCAUCCUGAAGAAGAACCAAUAUGUUAUAUAACUAACACUCUGAAAUAUAAGUAAGAAAUUGAUAGAUUCAUUCAUUUAAUAUUUCUCUUAUUGUUUCUUUUGAGAGAGUACCGGUUAAGCAUAUGUUUUUUUACUAAUCUUAGAUGAACUAUGUAAGCAUAUCAAAAAAGCUUUGAAUUUCAUUUUCUUUAAUAUCACGGCGUCUAUCUACACAUAGAGACUAAACCAAAUGGGAACACGAUAUGACUUGAAUUUGUUUCCCAUGCAAUAGUCGUAUUUUGUCAUUUGUAUUAUCCACUCAGGCACCACUUAACUUUUCCCAAUGACCGUGCAACAAAGUUCUGGUCUGUAUGACCCUACAUCAAUUCAUCAUAUAAUUUUAAGAGCAUGUCCACAUGGUCUACCAUAUACUUUGCUCUCAAAAAUUAAAUAAACAAAAAACUACCAACUUAUAUAUUUCUUAUUCCUCUCAUCUAAGAUUCACUUGGAAAAUGAUCUAAGUUGGUAAGAAAAAAAUACAUGUAGUGAUUAAAUAAUGUACAUAGACAGAUAAUUUAAGAUGCAAAUGACAACAGUCAGGAGCGAUUCAGGUGAUCAGUCAGGAGUGAUUGUAUUGCAUUAUUAAUGGGAGAUCACCUAAUAGUCUAUCACAUGAUAGGAUAACUUUCUUAGGAAAACUACCGGGUCAUUUUAGGUAUGAAAGGAAGGAUAGUCCUUCACUUGUUCGCUUCACCAAAAAGUCAAAGGUCUGC